rnacentral:rRNA from 1 species
AGAGUUUGAUCCUGGCUCAGGAUGAACGCUGGCGGCGUGCUUAACACAUGCAAGUCGAACGAUGAAGCCCAGCUUGCUGGGUGGAUUAGUGGCGAACGGGUGAGUAACACGUGAGUAACCUGCCCUUAACUCUGGGAUAAGCCUGGGAAACUGGGUCUAAUACCGGAUAGGAGCGUCCACCGCAUGGUGGGUGUUGGAAAGAUUUAUCGGUUUUGGAUGGACUCGCGGCCUAUCAGCUUGUUGGUGAGGUAAUGGCUCACCAAGGCGACGACGGGUAGCCGGCCUGAGAGGGUGACCGGCCACACUGGGACUGAGACACGGCCCAGACUCCUACGGGAGGCAGCAGUGGGGAAUAUUGCACAAUGGGCGCAAGCCUGAUGCAGCGACGCCGCGUGAGGGAUGACGGCCUNCGGGUUGUAAACCUCUUUCAGUAGGGAAGAAGCGAAAGUGACGGUACCUGCAGAAGAAGCACCGGCUAACUACGUGCCAGCAGCCGCGGUAAUACGUAGGGUGCGAGCGUUAUCCGGAAUUAUUGGGCGUAAAGAGCUCGUAGGCGGUUUGUCGAGUCUGUCGUGAAAGUCCGGGGCUUAACCCCGGAUCUGCGGUNGNAACGGGCAGACUAGAGUGCAGUAGGGGAGACUGGAAUUCCUGGUGUAGCGGUGGAAUGCNNUNNNNNNANNUGGAGGAACACCG